AGUGAACGCUGGCGGCAGGCCUAACACAUGCAAGUCGAACGGCAGCACAGUAAGAGCUUGCUCUUACGGGUGGCGAGUGGCGGACGGGUGAGGAAUACAUCGGAAUCUACUUUUUCGUGGGGGAUAACGUAGGGAAACUUACGCUAAUACCGCAUACGUCCUACGGGUGAAAGCAGGGGAUCUUCGGACCUUGCGCGAUUGAAUGAGCCGAUGUCGGAUUAGCUAGUUGGCGGGGUAAAGGCCCACCAAGGCGACGAUCCGUAGCUGGUCUGAGAGGAUGAUCAGCCACACUGGAACUGAGACACGGUCCAGACUCCUACGGGAGGCAGCAGUAGGGAAUAUUGGACAAUGGGCGCAAGCCUGAUCCAGCCAUACCGCGUGGGUAAAGAAGGCCUUCGGGUUGUAAAGCCCUUUUGUUGGGAAAGAAAAGCAGCAGGUUAAUACCCCGCUGUUCUGACGGUACCCAAAGAAUAAGCACCGGCUAACUUCGUG
rnacentral:rRNA from 1 species